rfam:Callithrix jacchus chromosome 4, whole genome shotgun sequence
CCAAAGGCUCUUUUUAGAGCCAUUAUCUUCCUAACAUGCAGUGAUG